rnacentral:rRNA from 1 species
CGUUUGACCUCGGAUCAGGUAGGGAUACCCGCUGAACUUAAGCAUAUCAAUAAGCGGAGGAAAAGAAACCAACAGGGAUUGCCCUAGUAACGGCGAGUGAAGCGGCAACAGCUCAAAUUUGAAAUCUGGCUCUUUUAGAGUCCGAGUUGUAAUUUGCAGAGGGCGCUUUGGCUUUGGCAGCGGUCCAAGUUCCUUGGAACAGGACGUCACAGAGGGUGAGAAUCCCGUACGUGGUCGCUAGCUAUUGCCGUGUAAAGCCCCUUCGACGAGUCGAGUUGUUUGGGAAUGCAGCUCUAAAUGGGAGGUAAAUUUCUUCUAAAGCUAAAUAUUGGCCAGAGACCGAUAGCGCACAAGUAGAGUGAUCGAAAGAUGAAAAGCACUUUGGAAAGAGAGUCAAACAGCACGUGAAAUUGUUGAAAGGGAAGCGCUUGCAGCCAGACUUGCUUGCAGUUGCUCAUCCGGGCUUUUGCCCGGUGCACUCUUCUGCAGGCAGGCCAGCAUCAGUUUGGGCGGUGGGAUAAAGGUCUCUGACACGUUCCUUCCUUCGGGUUGGCCAUAUAGGGGAGACGUCAUACCACCAGCCUGGACUGAGGUCCGCGCAUCUGCUAGGAUGCUGGCGUAAUGGCUGUAAGCGGCCCGUCUUGAAACACGGACCAAGGAGUCUAACAUCUAUGCGAGUGUUUGGGUGUCAAGCCCGAGCGCGUAAUGAAAGUGAACGGAGGUGGGAACCCGCAAGGGUGCACCAUCGACCGAUCCUGAAGUUUACGGAAGGAUUUGAGUAAGAGCAUGGCUGUUGGGACCCGAAAGAUGGUGAACUAUGCUUGAAUAGGGUGAAGCCAGAGGAAACUCUGGUGGAGGCUCGCAGCGGUUCUGACGUGCAAAUCGAUCGUCAAAUUUGGGCAUAGGGGCGAAAGACUAAUCGAACUAUCUAGUAGCUGGUUCCUGCCGAAGUUUCCCUCAGGAUAGCAGUAACGUAUUCAGUUUUAUGAGGUAAAGCGAAUGAUUAGAG